CCUACGGGAGGCAGCAGUAGGGAAUUUUCGUCAAUGGGCGCAAGCCUGAACGAGCAAUGCCGCGUGAACGAGGAAGGUCUUCGGAUCGUAAAGUUCUGUUGAAGGGGAAAAAGAGCGGAGAGAGGAAAUGGUCUCCGAUUGAUAUUACCCUUAGAGGAAGUCACGGCUAACUACGUGCCAGCAGCCGCGGUAAUACGAAGGUGGCGAGCGUUAUCCGGAAUGAUUGGGCGUAAAGGGUGCGUAGGCGGCCUGCUAAGUCUGGAGUGAAAGGUACCGGCUCAACCGGUACAGGCUCUGGAAACUGGCGGGCUAGAGAGCAGGAGAGGGCGGUGGAACUCCAUGUGUAGCGGUAAAAUGCGUAGAUAUAUGGAAGAACACCAGUGGCGAAGGCGGCCGCCUGGCCUGUUACUGACGCUGAGGCACGAAAGCGUGGGGAGCAAAUAGGAUUAGAUACCCGAGUAGUC
rnacentral:rRNA from 1 species